rnacentral:lncRNA from 1 species
UGGUCGAAAAUGUUUUUUUUUUUUCAAAUCAAUAUCGCAGGUAAUAAUUUGAAAACGUACCAGUGAGGAAACAUGGUUUAAGUGAUCCAUGUAAAACACUUUGAAAAUCUACCAAACUUAGAAACAGGUUAUCAUUCCUAAGUGUAGAUUUUGUGAUUGUUGUGUUUUUGCAAGAAGCCCAUUUUGUAAGAAUGGUCAGUUGAUCUAUACAUUCUUGUUGCAGGGCUGAGGGUGAAAAUCUGAUUUUCAAAGAGGUUUCACCUACUCAUAACUAAAUCAGUUUUUCUUGGAAUAGUAGUGAUGUUUCCUACGAUAGGUAUGGUCUUAUUUAUAGGAGUAGAUUCACCGAUUUUGUAUAUAAAAUGGACAAUAUAUUCAAAAGAAUAGAAUCAUUUAGUUUAGGAAGUCCCUAUAGUUUUGGUGCUAUAAUAUAUGUUAAAAAUCUCAGGGAAUGGAAAUCACAACUAUAUAUGGUUUUAAGUUACUAUAAAUUAUGGAAAACUCAAAAACCCAAUUGAUUUCCUUUUUUGUUAUGUUGACUGCUUUGAAAUAUGAAAAAAAAUUGGAAUGUUAUUGAGUUUAGGAAUAAUCGAAUUUAUUAGUUUUAAAGAUUAGCUAUACUUGAUUUGCAAGUUUUGAAACAGGAUCUCUCGAUUGUGUUGUUGCUUGAUAUCGUUUUAUUUAUGAUAAUUGCGUGGAAGUAGGAAACAUAUUUGGCAUAUUAUUGAGUUUAGGAAAAUAAUAAAUUAUUAGUUUUGAUUUUGUGCACCAAUAAUAUAUAAUGAUA